AGCGAACGCUGGCGGCAGGCUUAACACAUGCAAGUCGAGCGGGCCCUUCGGGGUCAGCGGCGGACGGGUGAGUAACGCGUGGGAACGUGCCCUCUGGUUCGGAAUAACUCAGGGAAACUUGAGCUAAUACCGGAUACGCCCUUUUGGGGAAAGGCUUGCUGCCGGAGGAUCGGCCCGCGUCUGAUUAGCUAGUUGGUGGGGUAACGGCCUACCAAGGCGACGAUCAGUAGCUGGUCUGAGAGGAUGAUCAGCCACACUGGGACUGAGACACGGCCCAGACUCCUACGGGAGGCAGCAGUGGGGAAUAUUGGACAAUGGGGGCAACCCUGAUCCAGCCAUGCCGCGUGAGUGAUGAAGGCCUUAGGGUUGUAAAGCUCUUUUAUCCGGGACGAUAAUGACGGUACCGGAGGAAUAAGCCCCGGCUAACUUCGUGCCAGCAGCCGCGGUAA
rnacentral:rRNA from 1 species